GAUUAUUUAGUUUAAAUUAAAACAAAUGUUUUGAAAACAUAAAAUAAGAAAAUAUUUCUUAAUAAUUG
rnacentral:tRNA from 1 species